rnacentral:ncRNA from 1 species
AUCUGUUUAACUAUAGCAGUAGAAAGCUUUAAUUGUUCCAUCCGCAUAGAGUUAGUGUAUGUURUAURGCGGGGGGUUUGAGCCAUAUCUAGCGGUUAAUAUUUUAUUUGGUGUACUACCUUUGGGGGAGCAAGUUUAUUAAAGGGGAGAGGCCACAGUGCCAGCAUCCGCGGUUAUUCUGUUUUCUUUGUUUUCAUGUGGUUAUAGUUAAAUAAUAAGUAGUAAGGUUUGGUGAAAAUUCUUUACAGUGUUUUAUUUAUUUAAAUAGUACAAAAUAUAAUUUGAGUGACAGGGAUUAGAAACCCCCUUAAUUUUAUAUUUAAUUAUACUUAGUUUAAUAACUAAAUUAGUUUGGCAGUGAAUCACUCCGUUUGGGGGAGCGUGUGGCAUAAAAGAUGAUCCACUCAUAAAUCAACCUUGGUUAUGCUGGUGUAUAUCUGAUUUAAUAUUAAUGUUUAAUUAUAAAAAUUUGUGUAAAUUUAUUUAAGUCAAGUCUAUGUGCUGCCUGCCAAGGGGGCUUAUGCGCUACAAUUAUAAAAAUCUAGUUGAAAAUUAUUUGUAUAUAGGACUCAAUAGUAAUUGAAAAUUAGUAUGUUUCAGUGAAGYAGGUUUGAUUUAUGUACACACCGCCCGUCACCCUCGAUUUUUAUUGAGGUAAGUCGUAACAUGGUAGCCCCAAAUGAAUUUGGGGCUAAUUUCCUAAGGGAUAAA